GUAUUUGAUUGCGUUUUAAGGCAACAUGAACAUUCUAUGACACAUUCAGAGUAUAUGAUACAUAAGCCCGAAGGCCUACGGUGGGUUCACAGGUGUAUGUGGAUUUAAAGGCUCGGGCGUGCACAUGCCCCGAAAGGCCAGCAGCAACCCUCACCGAUAAUUUCAAUAAUGAUCCUUCCGCAGGUUCACCUACGGAAA
rnacentral:misc_RNA from 1 species